rnacentral:rRNA from 1 species
UACGUAGGGUGCAAGCGUUAAUCGGAAUUACUGGGCGUAAAGCGUGCGCAGGCGGUUUUGUAAGUCUGACGUGAAAUCCCCGGGCUCAACCUGGGAAUUGCGUUGGAGACUGCAAGGCUAGAAUCUGGCAGAGGGGGGUAGAAUUCCACGUGUAGCAGUGAAAUGCGUAGAGAUGUGGAGGAACACCGAUGGCGAAGGCAGCCCCCUGGGUCAAGAUUGACGCUCAUGCACGAAAGCGUGGGGAGCAAGCAGG